UGUCUUCGGGUAAUUUGAAUUUCCCAAAGGAAAUAACUUACGCCAAGUUUCGUCUCGCUAUCAUUGCCAUGAUACGGUUGCUUGAUAUUGAUUUUGACAAUGGGUUUUUUUGUGAAUUAUGUGGAAGAAUUCCUCAGAAGGUGGUGAUGGAUGGAACAACUCUUGGAAUACAGAAAACUUUCUUACCAAAUAAUUUAAGAGAGUCUGAUACUGGAUUGCUAGAUGGAAGAUAAGUAUUUUUGAAGUUUAUCUGUAAUAUAUAAUAUAUACAGGUCUGCUAAUUAGUAAA